rnacentral:rRNA from 1 species
GUCUUUUUGUUUUAUUAUAAUAAGUCUGGCCUGCCCUAUGUAGUAAUAAAUGGCCGCGGUAUUAUGACCGUGCGAAGGUAGCAUAAUCAAUAGUCUAUUAAAUGUAGUCUGGAAUGAAGGGUCUGACGAGGGGUAGCUUUCUUAAUUUUAUAGUUGAACUUAAAUUAUUAGUGAAAAUGCUAAUAUGAUUUAGAGGGACGAGAAGACCCUAUAAAGCUUUAUAUUAACUAAUUUUGUAGUAUUUUGUGUUAUAUUUUGUUGGGGCGACAGUAAAUGGAGACAUUUAUUUUAUUUAUCUUGUUAAUAGGUUUAUGAUCCAUUAAUAAUGAUUAAUAGGCUAAGUUACUUUAGGGAUAACAGCGUAAUUAUAUUUUAGAGUUCUUAUCGAUGAUGUAGUUUGCGACCUCGAUGUUGGAUUAAGAUGCCUUUAGGAUGCAGCUGUUUUAAGGGGUAGUCUGUUCGACUAUUAAAUUCUUACA